rnacentral:rRNA from 1 species
UACCAGCACCCCGAGUGGUCGGGACGUUUAUUGGGCCUAAAGCAUCCGUAGCCGGUUCUACGAGUCUUCCGUUAAAUCCAACUGCUUAACAGGUGGGCUGCGGAAGAUACUAUAGAGCUAGGAGGCGGGAGAGGCAAGCGGUACUCGAUGGGUAGGGGUAAAAUCCGUUGAUCCAUUGAAGACCACCAGUGGCGAAGGCGGCUUGCCAGAACGCGCUCGACGGUGAGGGAUGAAAGCUGGGGAGCAAACCGG